rnacentral:rRNA from 1 species
AUUGAACGCUGGCGGCAUGCCUUACACAUGCAAGUCGAACGGUAACAGGUCUUCGGAUGCUGACGAGUGGCGAACGGGUGAGUAAUACAUCGGAACGUGCCUAGUAGUGGGGGAUAACUACUCGAAAGAGUGGCUAAUACCGCAUGAGAUCUACGGAUGAAAGCAGGGGAUCGCAAGACCUUGUGCUACUAGAGCGGCCGAUGGCAGUUGAGGUAGUUGGUGGGAUAAAAGCUUACCAAGCCGACGAUCUGUAGCUGGUCUGAGAGGACGAUCAGCCACCCUGGGACUGAUACACCGCCCAGACUCCUACGGGAGGCAGCAGUGGGGAAUUUUGGACAAUGGGCGCAAGCCUGAUCCAGCAAUGCCGCGUGCAGGAUGAAGGCCUUCGGGUUGUAAACUGCUUUUGUACGGAACGAAAAGCCCUGGGUUAAUACCCUGGGGUCAUGACGGUACCGUAAGAAUAAGCACCGGCUAACUACGUGCCAGCAGCCGCCGUAAGAC